rfam:Mus musculus chromosome 4, GRC primary reference assembly.
GGAGAGGUGGCUCAGUGGUUAGAGCACUGGCUGCCCUUACAGGGGAUCUGGGUUCGAUUCCCAGCAUCCACA